AUUGAACGCUAGCGGCAUGCUUUACACAUGCAAGUCGAACGAGUGGCGGACGGGUGAGUAAUAUAUCGGAACGUGCCCAGUGGCGGGGGAUAACUACUCGAAAGAGUGGCUAAUACCGCAUACUAUCGGAGCGGCCGAUAUGGGAUUAGCUAGUGGGUGGGGUAAAGGCUCACCAAGGCAACGAUCCGUAGCUGGUUUGAGAGGAUGACCAGCCACACUGGGACUGAGACACGGCCCAGACUCCUACGGGAGGCAGCAGUGGGGAAUUUUGGACAAUGGGGGAAAGCCUGAUACAGCCAUGCCGCGUGUAUGAGAAGGCCUUCGGGUUGUAAAGUACUUUUGGCGGGGAAGCGGUAUCUGCAGAAUAAGCACCGGCUAACUACGUGCCAGCAGCCGCGGUAAUUC
rnacentral:rRNA from 1 species